AGAGUUUGAUCCUGGCUCAGAACGAACGCUGGCGGCGUGCCUAACACAUGCAAGUCGAACGAGAAAGUUUCUUCGGAAACGAGUAAAGUGGCGCACGGGUGAGUAACACGUGAAUAAUCUGCCUUCGAGACUGGGAUAACUUGACGAAAGUUAAGCUAAUACCAGAUAAGACCACGCUUCACAAGGAGUGCGGGAAAAGGGAUCUCAAAUCCUGCUCGUAGAUGAGUUCGCGUACCAUUAGCUUGUUGGUGAGAUAAAAGCUCACCAAGGCGACGAUGGUUAGCCGGCCUGAGAGGGUGAUCGGCCACACUGGAACUGAGACACGGUCCAGACUCCUACGGGAGGCAGCAGUGGGGAAUCUUGCGCAAUGGGCGAAAGCCUGACGCAGCAACGCCGCGUGAGCGAUGAAGGCCUUCGGGUCGUAAAGCUCUGUCAAGUGGGAAGAACACAAUGACGGUACCACUAGAGGAAGCCCCGGCUAACUUCGUGCCAGCAGCCGCGGUAAUACGAAGGGGGCAAGCGUUGUUCGGAAUUAUUGGGCGUAAAGCGUAUGUAGGUGGUUUAUCAAGUCAGACGUGCAAGCCCUCGGCUCAACCGAGGAAUUGCGUUUGAAACUGAUAGACUUGAGUGUAGGAGAGGAAAGCGGAACUCCCAGUGUAGCGGUGAAAUGCGUUGAUAUUGGGAAGAACACCGGUGGCGAAAGCGGCUUUCUGGCCUGCUACUGACACUGAGAUACGAAAGCCAGGGGAGCAAAGGGGAUUAGAUACCCCCGUAGUC
rnacentral:rRNA from 1 species